rnacentral:rRNA from 1 species
CAGUCGCCGCGGUAACACGUAGGUGGCAAGCGUUGUCCGGAAUUAUUGGGCGUAAAGCGCGCGCAGGCGGAUCAGUUAGUCUGUCUUAAAAGUUCGGGGCUUAACCCCGUGAUGGGAUGGAAACUGCUGAUCUAGAGUAUCGGAGAGGAAAGUGGAAUUCCUAGUGUAGCGGUGAAAUGCGUAGAUAUUAGGAAGAACACCAGUGGCGAAGGCGACUUUCUGGACGAAAACUGACGCUGAGGCGCGAAAGCCAGGGGAGCGAACGGGAUUAGAUACCCCGGUAGUCCCUGUCUCUUAUACC